GAUGAACGCUGGCGGCGUGCCUAAUACAUGCAAGUCGAGCGAACAGACGAGGAGCUUGCUCCUCUGACGUUAGCGGCGGACGGGUGAGUAACACGUGGAUAACCUACCUAUAAGACUGGGAUAACUUCGGGAAACCGGAGCUAAUACCGGAUAAUAUAUUGAACCGCAUGGUUCAAUAGUGAAAGACGGUUUUGCUGUCACUUAUAGAUGGAUCCGCGCCGCAUGAGCUAGUUGGUAAGGUAACGGCUUACCAAGGCAACGAUGCGUAGCCGACCUGAGAGGCUGAUCGGCCACACUGGAACUGAGACACGGUCCAGACUCCUACGGGAGGCAGCAGUAGGGAAUCUUCCGCAAUGGGCGAAAGCCUGACGGAGCAACGCCGCGUGAGUGAUGAAGGUCUUCGGAUCGUAAAACUCUGUUAUUAGGGAAGAACAAAUGUGUAAGUAACUAUGCACGUCUUGACGGUACCUAAUCAGAAAGCCACGGCUAACUACGUG
rnacentral:rRNA from 1 species